AUGAACGCUGGCGGCGUGCCUAAUACAUGCAAGUCGAGCGAACAGAUGAGGAGCUUGCUCCUCUGACGUUAGCGGCGGACGGGUGAGUAACACGUGGAUAACCUACCUAUAAGACUGGGAUAACUUCGGGAAACCGGAGCUAAUACCGGAUAAUAUAUUGAACCGCAUGGUUCAAUAGUGAAAGACGGUUUUGCUGUCACUUAUAGAUGGAUCCGCGCCGCAUUAGCUGUUGGUAAGGUAACGGCUUACCAAGGCAACGAUGCGUAGCCGACCUGAGAGGGUGAUCGGCCACACUGGAACUGAGACACGGUCCAGACUCCUACGGGAGGCAGCAGUAGGGAAUCUUCCGCAAUGGGCGAAAGCCUGACGGAGCAACGCCGCGUGAGUGAUGAAGGUCUUCGGAUCGUAAAACUCUGUUAUUAGGGAAGAACAAAUGUGUAAGUAACUAUGCACGUCUUGACGGUACCUAAUCAGAAAGCCACGGCUAACUACGUG
rnacentral:rRNA from 1 species